GGGUUGUGAGGUUAAGCGACUAAGCGUACACGGUGGAUGCCCUGGCAGUCAGAGGCGAUGAAGGACGUGCUAAUCUGCGAUAAGCGUCGGUAAGGUGAUAUGAACCGUUAUAACCGGCGAUUUCCGAAUGGGGAAACCCAGUGUGAUUCGACACACUAUCAUUAACUGAAUCCAUAGGUUAAUGAGGCGAACCGGGGGAACUGAAACAUCUAAGUACCCCGAGGAAAAGAAAUCAACCGAGAUUCCCCCAGUAGCGGCGAGCGAACGGGGAGCAGCCCAGAGCCUGAAUCAGUGUGUGUGUUAGUGGAAGCGUCUGGAAAGGCGCGCGAUACAGGGUGACAGCCCCGUACACAAAAAUGCACAUGCUGUGAGCUCGAUGAGUAGGGCGGGACACGUGGUAUCCUGUCUGAAUAUGGGGGGACCAUCCUCCAAGGCUAAAUACUCCUGACUGACCGAUAGUGAACCAGUACCGUGAGGGAAAGGCGAAAAGAACCCCGGCGAGGGGAGUGAAAAAGAACCUGAAACCGUGUACGUACAAGCAGUGGGAGCCUCUUUUAUGGGGUGACUGCGUACCUUUUGUAUAAUGGGUCAGCGACUUAUAUUCUGUAGCAAGGUUAACCGAAUAGGGGAGCCGAAGGGAAACCGAGUCUUAACUGGGCGUUAAGUUGCAGGGUAUAGACCCGAAACCCGGUGAUCUAGCCAUGGGCAGGUUGAAGGU
rnacentral:rRNA from 1 species